rnacentral:SRP_RNA from 1 species
GCCAGGCGCGGUGGCGCGCGCCUGUAGUCCCUGCUACUCGGGAGGCUGAGGCAGGAGGAUCGCUUGAGCCCAGGAGUUCUGGGCUGUAGUGUGCUAUGCCGAUCGGGUGUCCGCACUAAGUUCGGCAUCAAUAUGGUGACCUCCCGGGAGCGGGGGACCACCAGGUUGCCUAAGGAAGGGUGAACCGGCCCAGGUCGGAAACGGAGCAGGUCAAAAAGAUCACCAUGGCUGUAUAUGGGGAAAAGGAGAAAGGGAAGCCAUAGUGAGUGACAGACCAGUUAGAAGACCGCUGUCUAGU